rnacentral:sRNA from 1 species
UCUCAGCCCUGAUUGGAGCGGCAUCCUUUUUCUUUCUUUUUUUCGGAAGAAAAAGAUAGAGUGGAAAGCAGGAAAAUGG